AUGUUGAUUUUAUUAUCAAAUCAUCUCCUUGCAGAAAGUAAUUCUUUGGAGAUUUCUGACAAGAUGAGAAAAUUCCUCUUGCUGGUUCUCACCAUAACAGCUUCUGUAGCUUUUGCCAAUCCACCAGUUCAGGAUGAGAAGCCUCCUGAUCCAGUGGUGAAGGUGCCAGUGACUGAAAAAGAACCGAAGGUAGAGCACACAGAAGCACAAGCAGGUGCUCUGGUGCAGGAGGAGGAAGCUGUUGCAAAUUCAAGUCUGGUGGAGCCUGAUUCAGUGCUGCUGGAGCCAGAAACAACAGAGGAACAAAGAGUACCAGAAGAGACACAAGUGAUGUUGGAGAAAGCUGUGCUAGAGGCAGAUUACCUGACUGAAGAGAUGCCAGAGACAGAACUAGAGCUUGAGCCGGAAAUUACUGCCAUUCAGACAGACAGAAACAUCGUACCAGUGGAGGAAGCUGUAGAAGAGUUAGAGUCUGAAACUAAUAAAACUUAUGAAAAUGAAAUUGCAGAAAUACAAAUGGACCCUGGGAAGGAAAGACGAAGGACACAGAUUGGGUGGUGGACUUGUGGAGGAGUUGUCCUACAGGGCAAAUGUUACCAGUUCUUCAGAAAAAACCUCAAUGCCCAUCAAGCUGAGUUCCACUGUCAGUCCAUCUGCAAUAAUGGCCACCUGGCCUCUGUGACAAGCAGCUACAUUCUUGGUGAAAUAGGGAGGCUAAUGGAUCGGAAUGGCGGCCGCACCCGCGCAUGGCUUGGAGGACGGAGAAUCCUUCGUACAAAAAAGUUCCGAUGGUUGGAUGGAACGCGGUGGAGCUAUAAUGGCUGGGCUAAAGGAGAGCCCAAUAAUCUUGGUAGGAAGGAGAACUGUGUAGAGACGUGGUAUAAUCUGGCGUUCAAUGAUGUAACAUGCACAAGACUCAAACCGUUCAUCUGUUCCUGUCCACUUUAGACAGCCAGAAGGUUAACCUAACCUGCUAUACAGUAACUUUUAUGAAAAAAGUGUAAAUAAUGAUAAUUAUUAUUAUUGCAAUUUUUAAAGAUUAAUAAGGGUUAUCAACCAGUGUUUUAUUAAAUUUUCAUUGCAUUGUUUACAAAAAAAAAAAAAAAAACAUUUUUAUACACCACAGCUGAUUCAUUUAGUUUGGUUAAUAUUGCAUCAAAUUGUUUUAAGCAAUUUAAUUGAACAUGCUUUUGAAAACUUUGUGUAAAUAAAGCUGACUUUUAUUAUCA
ensembl:lncRNA